GACAACAACAGCAACAGAAACAGCAAAAGCAAAAGCAAUGACAACGACAAAGAUGAUAAGAUCGACGCACGCUUACGCUUUCAGUAUGGCGAAACAAUUACACAAAGAGAGCGACAACCAUCUGACGCCUCUCUGUGCGAGUAUCUCACCGCUGUGGCUCUCUUUGCUCGGCGAGUGAGUGGGCGCAGGCCAUUGGGCACACUCCGUGACCUCACUCCUCCGCCUCUCUUCACUCUGAUCCGUCCGAUACUGUACGAUCCGAUCCGAUCCGAUUCGAUACGAUCCAGUGUGAUCUGCUGUUUGAGUACUCACGUCAGUUGCUUGCCGUACACGGAACAGUUCGCGACCCCAGUCAGGCCCACGUCGCUUGCUUCGCUUCAAAUUGUGUCGGAAUUCGGUUGCUUUGGCACGUACCGCACCACGUACCGUACCGGUUGAGUGGGGACCCCGAUUCGUGGAAACUACGAAAUGGAAUGGACCUGGCUCAAGGACUGGUGGCGCCUCAAAAAGCUGCGCUCUCGCCACCAGCGCCACAAGAAGAAACUCGUGGCAGCAGCGGCGGAGGGCGCCGCAGUAAGCACAGCCGCGGCCCUGCCCGGAUCAGAUGCAGUGGCGGGGGGCGGGGUCUUGAGCCGGGACGAUCGUCGGGCCAGUCGCCGUCACAGCGUGGAGGCGACCACAGGGGAGGAUUCAGGGCAUGCCCAGCGACGCGGACGUGUCCGGGAUCGACUGCGCCGCAACCGUUUGCUGCAGUGUCAGCGGCGGAGUCUAAGCGCCGGCGUCCACGCCAAGCAGCAGGACAAGGAUAUGGCUGAUGAUGACGAUGACGGGGAAUACGGACCCUUCAACGUCAGCGACUACGAGGACUAUGGACCGAGCCAUGGCAGCGAUGGGGAGAGCGACGACUUCUGCUACUGUGACAUCUGUCUGAAUGGCGACACGGACUUUGGGGAAAGCAAUGACGGCAUGGACUCCGACACGAGCACCUCCUCCAGCAGCAGCAAGCAAGUGAUGGUCGGCAUCUGUGCAAUGGCCAAGAAGACGCAGUCGAAGCCAAUGAAGGAGAUCCUCACGCGGCUCGGCGAGUUCGAGUUCAUCAAGCUGGUCACGUUCGAGGAGAACGUGAUACUGCGCGAGCCGGUCCAGAACUGGCCCACCUGCGACUGCCUGGUCUCGUUCCACUCGAAGGGAUUCCCCCUGGAGAAGGCCAUCGAGUACGCCCAGCUUCGCAAUCCGUUUGUCCUCAAUAACCUGCACAUGCAGUACGACAUCCAGGACAGGCGGCGGGUCUAUGCCAUACUCGAGAAGGAGGGCAUCGAGAUACCACGCUAUGCGGUCCUCGAUCGCGACUCGCCCGAUCCCAAGCAUCACGAGCUGAUCGAAUCGGAGGACCAUGUCGAGGUCAAUGGGAUCACCUUCAACAAGCCGUUCGUAGAGAAGCCAGUCUCGGCGGAGGACCACAACAUCUACAUCUACUACCCGACCUCGGCGGGAGGUGGAAGUCAGCGUUUGUUUCGUAAGAUCGGCAGUAGGAGCAGUGUCUAUUCGCCGGAGUCGCGUGUGCGCAAGACGGGCUCGUUUAUCUACGAGGACUUCAUGCCCACCGAUGUGUACUUUUCAGGCACCGACGUGAAGGUCUACACCGUGGGACCGGACUACGCCCAUGCGGAGGCCCGCAAGAGUCCCGCGCUGGACGGCAAGGUGGAGCGCGACAGCGAGGGCAAGGAGAUCCGCUACCCAGUGAUCCUCAAUCACUCCGAGAAGCUCAUUUCCCGCAAAGUGUGCCUGGCCUUCAAGCAAACCGUCUGCGGCUUUGAUCUUCUGCGGGCCAAUGGCAAGAGCUACGUAUGCGAUGUGAAUGGCUUCAGUUUCGUGAAGAACUCAAACAAAUACUACGAUGACUGCGCCAAGAUCCUGGGCAACAUGAUACUCAGGGAGCUGACGCCCACGCUGCACAUUCCCUGGUCGGUGCCCUUCCAACUGGACGAUCCACCCAUCGUCCCCACCACCUUUGGCAAGAUGAUGGAGCUGCGAUGUGUGGUGGCCGUGAUCCGGCAUGGGGAUCGCACGCCCAAGCAAAAGAUGAAGGUCGAAGUGCGGCAUCCAAAAUUCUUUGAGAUUUUCGAGAAGUACGAUGGCUACAAGCUGGGCCAUGUGAAGCUGAAGCGGCCCAAGCAGCUGCAGGAGAUCCUCGACAUAGCCCGCUUCUUGCUCAGCGAGAUCCACACCAAGGCACACGCGGAGAUCGAGGAAAAGGAAAGCAAGCUGGAGCAGCUGAAGAACGUCCUGGAGAUGUACGGCCACUUCUCGGGCAUCAAUAGGAAGGUGCAGAUGAAGUACCAGCCGAAGGGACGACCCCGCGGCUCCAGUUCCGAUGACACCAAUCUUCCAGCGGAAUCCCCUGCAGAACCGUCGCUAGUGCUCAUCCUCAAGUGGGGUGGCGAGCUCACCCCCGCCGGACGCAUCCAGGCCGAGGAACUGGGUCGCAUUUUCCGCUGCAUGUAUCCAGGAGGUCAGGGACGAUCCGACUACUCGGGCACGCAGGGAUUGGGUUUACUACGCUUGCACUCAACCUUUCGACACGAUCUGAAGAUCUACGCCUCGGACGAGGGUCGGGUCCAGAUGACGGCGGCUGCCUUCGCCAAGGGUCUGCUGGCCCUCGAGGGCGAGCUGACGCCCAUUCUGGUGCAGAUGGUUAAGAGCGCCAACACGAAUGGGCUGCUGGACAACGAUUGCGACUCCAGCAAAUACCAGAAUCGGGCCAAGGGUCGCCUGCACGAGCUAAUGCAAAACGAUCGCGAAUUCACAAAGGAUGAUCGCGAGCAUAUCAAUCCGUGCAACAGCAAAUCGAUCACUCAGGCGCUGGACUUUGUGAAGAAUCCGGUGGACUGCUGCCACCAUGUGCACCUGCUGAUCCGCGAGCUGCUGCACAUAAUCAGCAUUAAAAAGGACGAUCCCAAGACCAAGGACGCCAUACUGUACCAUGGCGAGACGUGGGACCUUAUGCGCUGCCGCUGGGAGAAGAUCGAGAAGGACUUCAGCACAAAGUCAAAUCUGUUUGACAUCUCCAAGAUACCGGACAUCUACGACUGCAUCAAAUACGAUCUGCAGCACAACCAGCACACGUUGCAGUACGACCAGGCCGAGGAGCUGUACAUCUACGCCAAGAAUCUGGCCGACAUUGUCAUACCGCAGGAGUACGGCUUGACGCCGCAGGAGAAGCUGGCCAUUGGGCAGGGUAUCUGCUCGCCGCUGUUGCGCAAGAUCAAGGGCGAUCUGCAGCGGAACAUCGAUGAGGUCGAGGACGAGUUCAUGAACCGGCUGAAUCCACAUUACAGCCACGGCGUGGCCAGUCCCCAGCGCCAUGUCCGCACCCGUCUGUACUUCACCAGCGAGUCGCAUGUCCACUCCCUGCUCACCGUCCUCCGGUACGGCGGCCUUCUUAACGUGGUCACCGACGAGCAGUGGCGCCGCGCCAUGGACUACAUUUCCAUGGUGUCCGAGCUGAAUUACAUGUCCCAGAUCGUCAUCAUGCUGUACGAGGAUCCCACCAAGGAUCCCACCUCCGAGGAACGCUUCCACGUCGAGCUCCACUUUAGUCCGGGCGUCAACUGCUGCGUCCAGAAGAAUCUGCCGCCAGGGCCCGGCUUCCGGCCCCAUUCCCACGGCGACAAUGCCUGCAACGUGAGCCUGCAGUCCUCAGACGAGGCGAACCCUGCCCGAAUCGAGGAGGAGAACGACAACAACUCCGGGGAGGAGCAGAACACCAAAAAGGCAGGGAGCUGCGAGGAGAACAUUUCCGGCGCUGGCUCCAGCAGCAAUGUUUUCAGUGCCGGCUUCAACCGGCUGGAGUUGCGCACCAAGCACCUCAAGUCGAAGCCCAUUCCCAUCGGCUCGCACCACACGGUAAGUGGUCACGAGGCAAUGGAUCUGGCCAAGCGGCUCAACGAGGAGCUCGCCUCCCAGCAGCAGCAGCUCUCCCACAACCAGCAACAGCAGCAGCAGCAGCAGCAGCAGCAGCAGCAAUUGCGGCCCAUCAGCCCCGACAUGCGGGCCGUGAGUCCGGACUGCGAGCCGCGAUCCCGCAGCUUUGAGCAGCGUCCCACCUCCGGCAACUGUUGCAAGCAGACGGCUCCUUCCCCAAGCUUCGAAGAGAUAGACCACGCUCGGGUCGGCACCGGAGAAGGGGCUCCCAAGGGGGGCCAUCGCACGGCCUUUCAGAUACGCGUCACGGACACUCUGUCCUUCUUUAAGAUCGACUCCUCAACGAACGAACUGCCCCUGUCUGAUAUUGAUUUCUCCCUGAACCCGGGCACGCCCCAGUGCGGCCCGUCCCCCCACAAGCGGCUCCACGUGCUGACCAUGCGCCGCAUGGAGAGCUGUGAUGAGCCGGAUGACCUGAAGGCGGGUCGCGAGGUGCCCCAGCACCUGCAGCACCUGCCCCAGAUAUCGCCCAUGGCCACCAACGAGCGUCCGCUCAGCUGCAACUGCACCAGCUCGUCGGCCCUGGCGCUCCAUGCCCAGGCCCACUCGCACUCGAAGAGUCUGAUGGAUCUGGGCCAGACCCUGAGCAGCUCCGAGGUGGCACACAGCCCGUCGACGGGCCCCGAUCGAGCAGAUGCCGUCGAAGUCGGUGGCAGCAGCUUCGAUGAUGACUUUCAGCUCUCCAGCUCGGCGCCGGCAUGCCUGAUGACCGUCCCAUACGGGCGGCAACCUUCUGGAAUGGCAGCUCUGUCGCCCAAGAGCCAUGCCACCACCUCGCCCACCGCCUCCACCCUGAGGCUGUGCAAGGACAUGGAGGAGACCCAUUCAAAGGCACCAGCUGCCGAUAGUUGUGCCUCCAGUUCUGGGCACCGCAAGGCCACCAGUCACUCGUGUGGCCAGCUCUCGGUGAUGCCCAGCUCGGCGAUAGUGCUCCAGGAGAAUCCCUUUCGCUUUAUGGUCUCUUCGGUGGCAGCUGCUCCGCCUGGCGGGUGUUUUGUGAGCUGCUUCGAACCCAUAGCCGAGAAUGUCACACAAAAUCUGAAUCCCACGCCCACGCGUACACCCGAUCCCGAACGCGAACGCGAACCCACCACCACACCCACACCCACAAUUCAAACCAAUAUUGUAACCAGUAAAGUGGCAAAAGAGCAACAGCCACACCCACAGCCACUGGUGGUCUAUAAUCUGCCCACUUUGCUGGUUACUGCCACAGCAAGCCGAACCGAACUCAUACCAAUAACUACACCGACAAUUACACCAACACUAUCUACAACGACAACAACUACAACAACCAGAACAACAACAACAACAAUAGCAACUUUGCUCAAUAAUAAUACAGCAACAAUGUCUUCUAAUCAAACAUUUACUAACCAAUUCAAAUCGAUCGAUCCUUCCUCCUCUGACGCACACCAACACCAACACCAACAUGAAUACGAAACAACACCAAUACCAAUACCAACUUCAACAACAAUUACACCAAUCACCAAUCAACCAAUCAUUCAACAUAAUGACACUGACACCAACACCAAUACCAACAACACCACCGAUACAAACACAACAACUACCACGACCACCCCGUCUUGUUGUACCAAUACCAUCGCCACAGAUAGCACAGUUUCGGUGUCCGUAUCGGCCUCGGCCUCAUCGGCCAACUCGUCAACAUCAUCGCGUCGCCAAAGACACAGUAUUGCCGGCCAGAUGUCCUAUAUGAAAAUGUUGGGUUUCGGUGGUUUUAGCAAAAAGAUGGCCACCAGCGCGAAUAGCCUUUUCAGCACGGCAGUGAUAAGCGGCAGCUCAUCUGCCCCCAAUCUGCGGGACAUGAUACCGGUCUCGUCUUCCGGAUUUGGCGAUGUUCCACCGAUACGACCCCUGGAAACGCUCCACAAUGCUCUAUCGCUGCGCAAGUUGGACUGCUUCCUGCAGGACAUGAUCCUGGCGCAAAUAUUCAAGACCCCAACGGGUUCUCCGCCGCGCGCCUUCGACCACGGCGCCAUGCCGGCCGUCUCUUCAAUGGCACUUGCUGCACAUGUGGAUGAAGUCGCUUCAGUCGGUCCAGGCAUCGUCGGCGCUGGGGACACUCCGAGCACCCCGACGGGGGUGACGGGAAAAGUGGGCCAGUCGCCCCUCAGUGUGACCUUCCAAGGAUGCUGUAGCGAAUCGAACUCGAAUCAACGUGCCCGCGGAACGACGCCAGGGCAACAGGCUCCCCUCGGAAAUGGCGCUGGAAGAGCAGAACAAAGAACAGGAUGUGGACGAACGGAGGCAACACCGAACGUUUUUGGCCGCCAAAAAAGAACCUCCUUCAUUUUUAAUUUCAACCCCGAUCACUUUUCAAUUGCUCAUUCCGCAUUCGAUUCGCCCAUUCAUGACUCGAUUUUGCAUCGUCUCUAUCCAUAUCGCUUCCGCUUACUAACGGUUCAACUAAAAACUCUAUCCAAUUGGUCAACCCAUAAAAGAAAUCUGGCAGCAGCAGCAGGAUAGCCUCCAGGCAGCCUUGGCGGAUGAGGAACCACAAUCCGAGCUGGAGCUGAAGCAGCUGUUAUUCGAUCACUUUUCCGCUCCCAUCACACCAUAUUCGGAGCUUGCGGGACCCACGCCAGAUAUCUACCUGAACAUAAGUGAACAGGCACACAGCCU